CCCUACACAUCUCAAACACAGGAAGAACACCACAAGAAAUACAAUCACAGCUACUCUGUACAAACAUCACUAAGUGAUGCAUUCACCUAGUAACUAAAAAACACAACAAGCUUGCAUUCUGACCUUCCACACAAACUCCAGCAACUGCCACUUGAGAAAGAAACCUGAAUAUUCAGAGCUUACCACAUUUUUUAUUUAAAAAACAAAGACCUGUCACAUUUGUAAAAGAAGAGUACUGAAGAAAAAGGACUUGACUGCAGAAUUUAAGAGGUGUUUUUAAGCUUAGGCAAGCAUCCAGUGAAGGCUUUCCUCUUCCACAAAUCCAUUCACAGGAGAAUCCAGGGAAUUCCAGACAGGUCUCAUCCUUCCACAUGCUUGUCCUCAUCUCAGCUGAUUUCUAAGAAACACCACGGAAAUGGAGAACUACAAGAUUUCAAACUACAACUCAAUACGCACUGGAUUCUAACACAUUAUUACUGAGGAAAUCCCAACACAGACUCAGAGAAUGAUGAAACUGAAGCAAGAGGCUCAUGAUCUCCAAAACCAGCAAUAUAUUAUGCUUCAGAAAGCAGACUUCUAUGAAGUACUCAAGGUAGGUUGAAGGAGAUGCGUGACUUAAAUUUGACUGUCACACUGUCUACUUGAACGCAGAAAGGAAGUAUUCUGAAAAACCAUUCUCCAUAUUGAAGUUAAUCAGAAGAACUUACCUCAAUACCACAUCUAAAGGAAUUGACUUCAGCAGUUUUCCAAAAGUCUGUCUUACACGAGCACCACUAUGUACAAGUUGAACACGACACACAUCAACACAUCUGCAAUAACAAAAGUACUAAUGACUGCACCAUCAAACAGAGAAGGAGAGGAAGAACUGAGGCUGCUGGAUAUGAAAUGGUCAUGCCUGAAAGGCAAGGCAAGAAAAUUUAAAAAGAUGAUACUUCCUUGCGGUGUGUAAGAAAAAAAGCAAGCAAGUAGCAGAAGUUAAUAUGGUUAUAAUGUCAUGUGACUACAUAUAACGUCAAAACCCAAACACUUUCAUCCAACGCAUAAAAGAACAAAGCUACAGUUUUUUAAUCAGUCAGCACAGCUCAGUUACCUGGCUUCAACAGUAGCUGGUAUCAAAUACACAUUGAAAAAUCUCCAAAACCAAGCAACAUACAGAAUAACUUAAACCAGUGUACUCCUUCUGUUUUGACAACAUUAAUAAAAGGCCCAAAGUGUAUUUAAA